rnacentral:rRNA from 1 species
GACGAACGCUAGCUACAGGCUUAACACAUGCAAGUCGAGGGACCGGCGAACGGGUGAGUAACACGUAUCCAACCUGCCCUUUACUCGGGGAUAGCCUUUCGAAAGAAAGAUUAAUACCCGAUAUAAAGGAUGGGGAUGCGUUCCAUUAGGUUGUUGGUGAGGUAACGGCUCAGCAAGCAUUCGAUGGAUAGGGGUUCUGAGAGGAAGGUCCCCCACAUUGGAACUGAUGCACUGUCCAAACUCCUACGGGAGGCAGGAGUGAGGGGUAUUGGUCGAUGGGCGCUAGCCUGAACCAGCCAAGUAGCGUGAAGGAUGAAGGCUUAUGGGUCGUAAACUACUUUUAUAUAAGAAUAUGUAUUAUAUGAAUAAGGAUAGGCUGACUCCGAGCCAGCAGCCGCGGUAAUUC